GGAAGAUAGGACGUAGUGGUACGUAACUGGUCUUGAAAACCAGCCCGCUGUAGAGAUACGGUGAUGGUUCGACUCCAUUAUCUUCUGCCA
rnacentral:tRNA from 1 species